AUGGAUUCGUGGUUUUUUUACUCUGGAAACUUCUACCAAGCCCCCCACCCCAAUUAUACACUUCAAAACACUCUACCAAAUCUUGUGAUGCGGUUCCUGACCAAUCCUUACAAGCCAAUGAUUGCGGCGUUCUCAAGUCCUGGCCCUAAGAACAUCACUACUCUUGUCAAAGCAUUUGGAGAAUGUCGCCCGCUGAGAGAUGACAACGCUGAGAUGCCUCAUGGCAAUGCGGACAUCCUCACCACAAUCCUAAAGCUGGUCGACAAGUAUGAUCUGUAUGGAAGCGUGGCCUUCCCCAAACAUCACAACUAG
rnacentral:rRNA from 1 species